GUGGGUUGUACCAGAAGUAGAUAGCUUAACCGCAAGGGGGGCGUUUACCACGGUAUGAUUCAUGACUGGGGUGAAGUCGUAACAAGGUAACCGUAGGUGAACCUGCAGAAGGAUCA
rnacentral:rRNA from 1 species